GUCCCUAUAGCGCAAUGGAUAGCGUGUUGGACUUCUAAUCCAAAGGUCGUGGCUCUGAAUCCCACCUGGGAUA
rnacentral:tRNA from 1 species